CACUAUUCAUAAUCACAAGUCACAACACUAUUCAUAUUUCAUAGAAGCACUGUCUCUCAACACUAUUCAUAAUCACAAGUCAAUUUUUUUGGGACUUCAAUGAGCUUGGCUUAAGGCCUUGUUUAGUUCCCAAAAAGUGCAAAAAAAAAUUCAAGAUUCUCCGUCACAUCGAAUCUUACCGCGCAUGCAUAGAGCAUUAAAUAUAAAUAAAAAUAAAACUAAUUGCACAGUUUAUCUGUAAUUUGCGAGACGAAUCUUAUGAGCCUAGUUACUCUAUAAUUGGACAAUACUUGUCAAAUACAAACGAAAUGCUACAGUAACAUUUGCCAAAAAAUUUUCUGCAACUAAACAAGGCCUUAUUCGACGAGAGCCAAAGCCCCUAGAGACACUCCCAAACAAGCUCAUAUUUUGAGUGG
rnacentral:lncRNA from 1 species